GACGAACGCUGGCGGCGUGCCUAAUACAUGCAAGUAGAACGCUGAAGAGAGGAGCUUGCUCUUCUUGGAUGAGUUGCGAACGGGUGAGUAACGCGUAGGUAACCUGCCUUGUAGCGGGGGAUAACUAUUGGAAACGAUAGCUAAUACCGCAUAACAAUGGAUGACACAUGUCAUUUAUUUGAAAGGGGCAAUUGCUCCACUACAAGAUGGACCUGCGUUGUAUUAGCUAGUAGGUGAGGUAAUGGCUCACCUAGGCGACGAUACAUAGCCGACCUGAGAGGGUGAUCGGCCACACUGGGACUGAGACACGGCCCAGACGCCUACGGGAGGCAGCAGUAGGGAAUCUGCGGCAAUGGGGGCAACCCUGACCGAGCAACGCCGCGUGAGUGAAGAAGGUUUUCGGAUCGUAAAGCUCGGUUGUAAGUCAAGAACGGGUGUGAGAGUGGAAAGUUCACACUGUGACGGUAGCUUACCAGAAAGGGACGGCUAACUACGUG
rnacentral:rRNA from 1 species